AACGAACGCUGGCGGCAGGCCUAACACAUGCAAGUCGAGCGCGCCUUCGGGUGAGCGGCGGACGGGUGAGUAACGCGUGGGAAUAUGCCCUUCUCUACGGAAUAGUCCUGGGAAACUGGGGGUAAUACCGUAUACGCCCUUUGGGGGAAAGAUUUAUCGGGGAAGGAUUAGCCCGCGUUGGAUUAGGUAGUUGGUGGGGUAAUGGCCCACCAAGCCGACGAUCCAUAGCUGGUUUGAGAGGAUGAUCAGCCACACUGGGACUGAGACACGGCCCAGACUCCUACGGGAGGCAGCAGUGGGGAAUCUUAGACAAUGGGGGCAACCCUGAUCUAGCCAUGCCGCGUGAGUGAUGAAGGCCUUAGGGUUGUAAAGCUCUUUCAGCUGGGAAGAUAAUGACGGUACCAGCAGAAGAAGCCCCGGCUAACUCCGUG
rnacentral:rRNA from 1 species